GUGCUUGCUUCAGCUGCACAUAUACUAAAAUUGGAAUAUACAGAGAAAAUUAACAUGGCCCCUUGUGCAAGGAUGACUUGCAAAUUCAUGAAGCAUUUUAUAUUUUU